CCCUGGGAAACAAGAGGCAGGCUCGAGCUAUUGGAUGAUAUCUAAUGAACGCGAGCCGUCCCAGGGCUGUCAGAUUGGCAGCUAGCUCGUGACCGCUACGCUACUGAGCAUGCGGAAAAGAUGAGAGCUCUCGUCUCCUCCCUCCUCUUUAGUCAAGUGGUGCUGCUGUGGUAGGACUGCGUUUUGUCAAGACUAAAUUGGCAGUUUUACUGCAAAGCAAUAUCAAUAUCUCUCGAGUGCGAGCAAGUGACCCGAGAGAAGGGUGUUACGUAUCUUUUGUCUGGCUGCGAACGGUGCACUUUCGACGUUCAUGCGCGUUGGAUGGAAUUGAACCGAGACAGUCCAUGAGGAACGUCGAGGCAGGUGUGCGGUGUCUUUUGGAAUUCCGCUGGCCAAAAAGGAAACGGACGGACUAGGAUCUGCAACUGAAGCCUCUGGUGGACUGCAGAAUUUUCUGGAAAAAGGGAGGAAGAAAAGGAGCCAGAAAGAGAGAGGGGCUGUGGACAUUUAACUCACCCAUGCCCGUCUCUCCCAAAUAAGUCUCCCGGCGUUAGUUUUUUUAUGACGGAAAGUGUGUCCAGCUUUGGUAGAACUGUUAGGAGAGCUCUUCAGAAUGAAUACAGGUAGAGUCAGCGCUAUGAUUUCAUAACUUGCUGCUGACACAUAGAAACAACAGCAGGAUGACAUAAAGGGAGUGCUGUUAACAGGAAGAUACCCGGACUGUGUGUGGUCUCAUAUUGCAGAGUCUACCUUUUUAAGGGAGUGAGUCUCACUCAUCUGAUUCAGAUGCUUGGCGGUCACGCAGCACCGACGGUCUGAGGAACGGCGAAGACAUCAGUUCCUCCCUGGCCGCCAAAGGCUUCCGCAGCGUCAGGCCCAACCUGCAAGACAAGAAGUCUCCCACACAGGUGAACACACACACACACACACAUCCACGGCGUACUGUUAAGCAACCUCUCCACGUGACGUCAGAUGAAAGAGUAUACAUGCUAUCCUGGUUGAGGUCACAGGCUAAGGGAUCCAUGUUUAAUCCAGAGUAGUUAAACCCAGUGUGUGCCAGUCUUUAGGAGGAUGUUUGUGAUUGUUAAUCCCAUCGUGUCGUUCUGUCAGCAGCAGUGCCUCCAGAGAAUUUUCCCUGUCAACUUUUUCCAUUGAUUCAUGUCGAUGUGUUUCAGCGGCUAUCGAGAGGGAGUGAGUGUGUGUGUGUGUGUUCGUUCAUGUGUGUGUUUAUGGCUACAUAUAGGGAAAAUAAACAUGCGCAUUCUGUCUAUCACAUUUCUUCAAUCGUCUAAUUAUUAUAAUAUUCUUCCCUGUUUCAUUUUGCUUUUCAGUGAGACCUAAAUCAGACCACAGCCUAAAAAAAAUCUGCAGACUAUAAUUUUUUUUAUUCUGCUCCAGUGUUUUGUACCUUCUACUUGUAUUAUUUUGUAUUAUUAUUUUUGUAUUAAGAGUUUUGUGGUUUGUAUUCUGACUCUGGGUUUAGUGGUUUGUAUUCUGACUCUGGGUUUAGUGGUUUGUAUUCUGACUCUGGGUUUAGUGGUUUGUAUUCUGACUCUGGGUUUAGUGGUUUGUAUUCUGACUCUGGGUUUAGUGGUUUGUAUUCUGACUCUGGGUUUUGUGUUUGUUUUCUGACUCUGGGUUUUGUGUUUGUAUUCUGACUCUGGGUUUAGUGGUUUGUAUUCUGACUCUGGGUUUUGUGUUUGUAUUCUGACUCUGGGUUUAGUGGUUUGUAUUCUGACUCUGGGUUUAGUGGUUUGUAUUCUGACUCUGGGUUUUGUUUCUUAUUUCUAUCGUUCCACUGGUAAAAAGGUUGCUUGUUGCUUUUCUCAUUCUCUUAUUCUAAUUGUCUGCCCAGGCUGUCAGUCAGGUCCCUCUCCCGCCCCCUAGGAGAGAGAGCUACUCCUCCCCCAAACCAGGUGCUGUCCCUCCCUCCUACAGCUCCCUCCUUGCCGAGGCCCUCGGACCCGGGACGCUGUCUCUCUCCAACGAGAAGGCCGUCCUCAAGGAGUCCUACACAAUGAAGAGCACCUCCUCUUUCUCCUACUCUUCAGGAGCCUCCACCCGACCCAGAUCAGAGCCAGAAUUUAAACCCCCACAGUCAAACCCCAAAUCUCCUCUAGCCUUCCCCACUGCUACUUCCACCCGCACCGCCGCCUCCGCCCAGCGCAAGGUGUCCUCUCUCAGACUCACCCCCGUCCCUGUCCCCGACCCCCCCUCCCACCGACCCGCUCCCACCUCCUCCCCUCCGCCGCCAACCCCCCGUAGGGUCUCCUCCGUGGGCUCCCAGCACACAGCCACCCUCUCCGUCCAGAUGGCCCCGCGAACCCCGGAGCCAACGGGCUCCAAUCAUCCGGCCCUCACCCCGACGCCCAAGGCCCCGGCUUUGGUCCCUGUGGAGGGCCUGAAGGUCACACCCCCGCCUCCAGUUCCACCUCGACCAGGCGCGGCGGAUGUGGUGGGCUCGCCUCCUCACCUCCGCUCCUCCGGCUCCAGCACCUGGCACUCCCCUUACAACCGCCACAGCGCCGAUUCCGUGGACCCCCUGGCGGGCAUCAAAGCCAUGUCGCCCACCCCGUACGCCCCCUCCCCAUACGCCACACUGGAGCGCGGCGGGGCCGACCGAACGGACAAAAUUGGCCCGGUUAGCGCCGGUGCGGUCGGAUUCCCCGGCUGCGUGGCCGAUGCCGCCUCGACCUCGCCCCCGCUCUCCCCAGUGACGGUGUCAGCGCUCAGCCACUACUCGACGUCGACGGUGGGCCUCCUGGAGGAGUUGCAGAUCUGCGGCCUCGACUCCCCCGGUGCCUCGCCCACGCCCUCGCCCACCCUCAGCCACGCGUCGGCCUCAGCGUCCACCACGGGCACCGACGAGGCGCUAACCUCCACCCCUGCUGCAGCCACUAACGGCCAGGCUAUUCAAAUGGCCAUGAAUGGAGGUGCCCCCCACCCCCAGAGGCCCUCCUCCCCACCAGCCUACCCCCCUCCCCCUGCCUCCUUCAGCCCAGGGGCCAUCCGCAGGCACGGUCGGAGCACAGAAGGUUCAGAGUCGGUGACACGGGAGUCCGUGGUUUCGGGACACAGCAGUGUAAGCAGCACAGUGCCCAUCGCCCGCUUCUCCGAGGAGGAGAAGAGGGUGACGGUGAUGAAGGCGCCCCACUACGAGGGCAUCGGCCCUGUGGACGAGACAGGCAUUCCCAUCGCCAUCCGCACGACGGUGGACCGGCCGAAGGACUGGUACAAGACCAUGUUUAAGCAGAUCCACAUGGUUCACAAAGCAGAUGACGACUAUGCGGACACGUACAACGCCACAUACGCUGUCGUCGCUAACAACGACACAUACGGCCAGUCUUCCAACACCACCAUGGCCCAUCCUCCCCCCAGGACACACACGUACCGGCCUUUGGACAAGAGCCAGUCGGACAACGGGAGCCCCGGCACCUUCCGGGAGCCCUCGCCCUCCCCGGUCCCUCCACCGCCGCCGCCCAUGCCGUCCCUUCUCCAGCUUAGGUCCAGAGACAGUGACCGGGAGCGCGACUCGUCCGACGCCAUGAAUCAAUGGGGCCCUCCAGACAGUAAAGUGGACACUAGAAAGUACCGCGCCGAGCCCCGGAGCAUCUUCGAGUACGAGCCAGGAAAGUCAUCCAUUCUGGAGCAGGAGAGACCGACCUAUGAGCUAAACCCAGAUGACAUAGAUUUAGAGAACGAGCCUUGGUACAGGUUCUUUUCCGAGCUGGAGUUCGGCCGUCCGCCUCCUAAAAAACGGCUGGAUUAUAAUCCAGAGAUCUGCCCACGCCGACUCACCGAGACGUCGCUGUACCUCGCCCCAACUGCCGACCGCGUUCCAGAGAGGCCGGCGAGCGCUGCCAGCGAUUACAGGAAGAGAAGGAAGUCGGAGCCGUCAGGUGACCCGGCCAAGGACCGGGUGUCCCCGAAACCCUUGGAACCCAGCAGAGGCAGCUGCACUCUAAAGAAACCAACUGCCCGCUCCUCCCCCGCCUCACCCUCCCGAGCCAAAGGUGGGGACUCGUGCGACAUGACUUUCUCUUCCCGUUUGAGCUCUUCUCCGUACCUCCGCUCCUCUCUCUCCCCCGAACCCUCCGCCCUUGCCCGGUGUCAUCCUGGCAACGAUGCCGACCCGGGCGGCGCCUCCUCACCCUCUUCCCCCCUCAAACGCUCCAUCUGCUUCAAGAACGGCUGGCAGACACAGAGGCAGGACAUCGAGACGUGGAGCAGUGUAGAAGAUGCGCCGCCUUCGCCCGCCAAGCUCAAAUCUCGCAGCUGCGACGACCUGCUGAAUGACGGUCGCCCGCCAGUCGGCGCUGGUGGGCAGAAAGCCGUCCGUUCCGAGAGUGCCGGGUCGCUGGUUUGCGACAACCCGUCAGUGCCAGCAACCUCAUCGUCUACCCGCUCCUUGCCUCGUCCGCGGCGUGCGCACGAUGCGCCGGGCUUCCUCAAGCUCUACCGCAAGAUGCACCACAUCGACCGCGCCCAGCUGCUGCCCUCAGACGUCAUCCGCUCGGUCCGUGCCCGCAUCCUGGAACUGGAGCGCCAGCCGCACCUCUUCCCCCGAAAACUCUCCCCCUGGGGGCCGUUGUGGGGACUGGAUGUGCCCCGCGACACUGUGCCCACGCGCAUCUCCGAGUACGAGCAACUCAUCCAGAAGUCCAAGUCCAUGCCCAAUUUGGGCGAUAGUGAGGUCCCGUCGGGUGCCACCACGCCGGGCGAGUCGUCGUCCCGUGCCAGUAGUAGCGGGGGCGGCAGGGACACGCCCGGGUACCCCAAACGGCGUUUUUCCAUCGAAUCGCUUCUGGAGGAAGACAGUAACAAUGGGAAUGGAAACGGGACGUCCUAUCAGGCUUUGGACCCCCACCACGACGCCCACAAGACUGCAAGAAGCCCACCGGAGGGGCAGCCCCGCCUCGCCCCGGACCCCGACCUUCAGGAUUUCCCCGCCCCCCUUGCUUCCCGGCGUCGCGCCGCUCCUGGCGGGCAUUACUCGGACUCAGAGCCGGAUGCGGCCACAUCGGACCUCAGCGACUUCGUCCAGGUGGAGGGCUCGUCGUUCUGCAGCGAGAGCGACUUCGACCACUGCUCGCUCGCGUCCUCCGUGGAGAGUUUCUACGGCCAAGCUUCCCAUCACCACCACCUUCGCCGGCACCACCACCACAGCCUCGGGCACCACCACCCCAGUCACCAGAGCCUCGGUCAGGGCCAGGGUUACCAGCACCGUCACCUCAUCAGCUCGUGCAAGGGACGCUGCCCCGCGUCCAACACCCGCUUCACCACCAUGCUGCGCCACGAGCGGGAGCAGGCCCGCCAGGAGCUCCAUCAGAAACCUCCCCAGACACAGCACAUGAGGCGCGGGGAAAGAAAAGGGAACAGAGGGGACUACCACGGGCUGACGUCCUCCCUACAACAAACCCAACCUCAGCAGGGGAUGUCCAAGCUGGCAUUUCUUGUCAGCCCUGUGCCUUUCCGGAGGAAAAAGGCUGGUUCUCCGCCCACUUCUAGAAGGAGUAGCGGAGGUCGAAGUACCAGGCCCAAGUCUAAAGAAGCGGUCUACGAAGCUUUGGACGCGGCCCUGAGGGAUAUCUACGAGCACAUCCAAGCGGAGAGGGGGAGAAGCGGCUCCGGGCUACCGGACGACAGCAUCCUCCGGAGGCUACUGGCUGAGAUCCUCCCGGACGUGCCCGAGAGGAGCUCCUCGUUGCGGGGAACGAGGGAGAGCCUCAAGGGGGGUCCGUCCUCGAGCUCCUCGUACCUCGACGGAAGUCCAACCGGGUACGGCUCAUCGUCGCGGCUACAGUCACCGCGGCUACAGUCUCCUCUCAGUGCCUGUUACGGUCGUCACGCCGACACCUCAAAUAACAACGAUUACGGAGAUGAUCCAGGCAACGACAACGCGCGCUCCUACACAGAGCAGGAUGCCUCCCGGGGGUACAGCACUGGUGAAGGUGGAGGGGGCCGCAGCACACCCCAGGGGCCGACCAGACGAGUCACCCCGGACAGAGAGGUGUCCCAUAAGCAGAUGACCCAACUCAUUCUCUUCUCUCUCCUCCAUCAGAAACAGCCUGCCAAAGCUAUAUAUGACUUCAAGGCACAGACGGCCAAAGAGCUGACGUUCAAGAAAGGCGACGCGGUCAACAUCGUCAGACAGAUCGACAGCAACUGGUACGAAGGCGAACACCGCGGACGGUUGGGCAUCUUUCCCGUUUCCUACGUGGAGAAGAUGCCUUCGCCAGAGAAGAAGCAGCCGACCAGGCCUCCGCCGCCGGCGCAGGUCAGAGAGAUCGGGGAGGGCGUGGCCCGCUACAACUUCAACGCAGACACCAACGUGGAGCUGUCCCUCCGCAAGGCCGCGAAGGGCGAGCGGGUGCUCCUGCUGAGGAAGGUGGACCCCAACUGGUACGAGGGGAAGAUCCCCGACACGACCAGACAGGGCAUCUUCCCCGUGGCCUACGUGGACCUCGUAAAGCGCUCGCCGUCCAAGAGCCCCACCCCCUCCCGUCAACCAGACCCCCACGGUUACCCGAGCAACAGGACGCAGACCUCUACGCCUACCAAGCCAUUCAGCAGCACUCCAAAAGCCCCUCCCGUGCUCCACCCACCUCGCCCGGCACCCAUCUUUCCCCACACAUUCCCUCCACCCUCCAAGAGACUCCAGCUGCAGGCCAUCACCAGCGAGUGGCUGUCCCUCACCCUGGGUUCCGCAGCCUCAGAGACCCCCAUACCACCCACGCCACCCCCCUUCCCCUCUAGCCUCCUUCCCCUCCUGACCGCUGAGGAAUGGAGGGACGAUCCACCGGCGCCGCCCAGGCGAGGUCUCACCCCAACGCCGCGAAACCAGUCCAGCCGCCUCGGCCCCGCCCACCCCUCCCCCUCAGCCGCGCCUUUCUCUCCACCCCCUCUUCCUUACACCGGCUUGCCCUCUUCUUCCCCUUCACUCGACGCCUCCCAUGGAUACCUCAGAGGGCGGGAUCUAGGAGACCGCGAACUGAACCAGCCACUAUCCGUAAUCGCCGGAGUGUUCUUCUGUACUGAACUAGAGUCGUCAGACACCCUCAGAGAUCUGUCGCCAUGUUGCAGGGCAGUUGCUCAGCCAGUACCCCUAGAACAGCAAAUGGACUCGCCUUCACCUAAGCAGCAAGUAGAAGAUCCCUACGAUCAGUUGUUGUGUAUGAUACUGGAUCAGCCCUCUUGUAAGUCUUUGGCGCUGGCUGAUAAAUCACAGAGCAGGGUCACACUUGAGACAGAGUAUAAUAGGCCAGUAACUAUGCAGACCGUCCUACAGGACAGCCAAUCUAAAGGGGCGCACUGGCAGAGAGAUGGGCCUCAUAGGCCAGUGACGUUGUACAUUGUGGAAGAGGGGGAAGCUAUAGGAGGGGAAGAAGAGGAGGAGGAAGAAAGCACAGUCGGUGAAGGCUGUGGUACUGCAGAGGUAGUGCAUGAUGCGUGUAAUAUAGGUUUGAGACUCAGGGAAGGUCUCAAUGCAUUCUCAUUGUGUCCUCAGUCUCACUCGCAAAACCCAUUGGAGAAGGUCUGAGGGGGAUGUGAAGACUGGACAAUUGAGAUCUCCCCUCAGUUUAAGCAUACACAUGCUUCCAAACCCCCUAUCCCGAGACAUAUCCGAGCAGUCUGUGGAUGUAUAGUACAAAACCUUUGGCAUUGUUGAUUUAGCUGGAGGUUGUGAGGUCUGUUUGUGAUGAUACAAAAUGGCUUGGAGAACGUUUCAGGACACGUCAAAUGUUCCCUCCACUUCCCAGGUCCACGUCAGUCCCUCACGCUGUCACCUCCCUCCCCGGUCCGCCUCACCAUCCGCCGCUGUUUCCCCUUCCUCACAACCAGCAACCGCCCUGGUUACCAGCUCCACCUUCCCCACCUUCCCCAGCCCCACCUCCCAUCUCUGCUCUCCUCCGCCCAGCUCCCCCAGCCACGCGUCUCGUCUUUCCUCACCUCCCCCUAACUCCCCUAGCCCCAAUUCUCAGCCCUCCACCUUGUCAAACCCCCCCAUCUCCCACUCAUCUCCUCCUCCUCCUCCCAUCGCCUCUUGUUUCUGUCCUCCUUUCACCCUUCCGUCUUCCUCCCCAUCACCCUCACAUCAACACCUACCCGCCCCGGUCUCCCCACUACCCACCUCCCCCAUUCCCAUUGCGCAACCGGCUCUCCCCUCCCCACCUCCCCUCUCUUCUCCUACCCUCUGUUCCACUCCCUCUCCUCCCACUAGACCUAUUCCAGAACCCCGGUCUCCUAUGAUUAAGGUAAUAGAUACAGGUGCUUGUGAUGUGCCGAAACAACGUUGUAGGAACGUUAGGCCAUAUUAACCCUGAUGGACUGUGUGUUUGUGUUGCAACCUUACGGUUUUUAAUGAAUUGUCUGUGGGAUCAGUGACGUUUGUGCGUGUGGACGUGCAGUAGUAGCGUGUGAAUUAGCAGCACGUUGGACGCCUUGUUGCGGAUACCCAUAAUGCUUAGUGUUAAUAUGAGAGAGCCUCUGUGUUUCUCGAAGUUUGCCUUCUAGUUGUGUUGUGUGUAGCCUACCCGUGCCACCGAUGGGUGGUUGUGUCAAGUGACACUGAAUUCGCUGUGUGCGCUAACGUUUGAUCUUGUUUGGUUUAACACCAGUUAUUGUCUGUUGUGAAAAUGGCCGCUCGAUCUGUGUUGGCUGACGUCCGUCUAUUUUUGUUGUCGCACUUCUGGUUCUUUCAGCCGCCUUUUAAGCACGACCUCCUUGCGGUCGACCAUAAACCCCCCCGUAGCCCCGUCACGAACCGGAGGCCCGUUAGAGGUCGAAUGAGGUUCGCGCAGGAUUCACUUCAUGGCGGAGGAGACCCGUUCCAGGCUCUGUACAACUAUCUUCCCC